AGGACUUAGCUGCCUUGUGAACAGAGUCAGCAUCAUAUUGUGUUCACAGUGGCUAAGUUCCGC
rnacentral:pre_miRNA from 2 species